rnacentral:rRNA from 1 species
AGUGAACGCUGGCGGUAGGCCUAACACAUGCAAGUCGAACGGCAGCACAGGAGAGCUUGCUCUCUGGGUGGCGAGUGGCGGACGGGUGAGGAAUACAUCGGAAUCUACUUUUUCGUGGGGGAUAACGUAGGGAAACUUACGCUAAUACCGCAUACGACCUACGGGUGAAAGCAGGGGAUCUUCGGACCUUGCGCGAUUGAAUUAGCCGAUGUCGGUUUAGCUAUUUGGCGGGGUAAAGGCCCACCAAGGCGACGAUCCGUAGCUGGUCUGAGAGGAGGCUCAGCCCACCUGGAACGUAGACACGGUCCAGACUCCUACGGGAGGCAGCAGUGGGGAAUAUUGGACAAUGGGCGCAAGCCUGUUCCAGCCAUACCGCGUGGGUGAAGAAGGCCUUCGGGUUGUAAAGCCCUUUUGUUAGGAAAGAAAUCCAGCUGGUUAAUACCCGGUUGGGAUGACGGUACCCAAAGAAUAAGCACCGGCUAACUUCGUGCCAGCCGCCGCCGUAA